UAUGACUCUAUCUCCCUCCAGCCGUAUGGACAGACAAGGCAGGAGAGGGGCGUUUGGGGCCCAGCUGACAUCACUUCGCCCUGGGGCAAGACACUGAUCAGAUCUCAUAUCCUGGGGCAGCGUGAUCAGAUUCAGAUAUGACGUCUGGGUCCAUUGCAGACCAACACAGAGAAACAGAAGCAUCUGUUAUUGGACAAAGAUAAGUGUUGCUUUAGUUAUGUUUUAAAUUAUAUGUACUGCUACAGUUUAUACCCCCAUUGUUAAUUUUAAGUACCGCUAUGGUUUUUACAUUAGGAAUUAUAAUUAGUACUAUGUAUUUGUCAUUGCAUUUCUACAGACUCACAUUAACAAUCUUUUUUCUUGGAGUCUAAAUGUGAGUAAUAUACAGUUUCUGUGUCUGAAGCUGUUGAACGUAUUUGUCUGUACGGUCAGGACAGAGAGGCACAGAUGCCGCAUUCUUAUUUGAACAAAAAAUGAUCCUGGACCAACACACAAUAUAAUUUCUUACGUGGAUUAUCAUUAAUGGACACUUUGUAGGGGUUGAUGCAUUUUUUUGUUCAGGAAAUGUUUACUUUAGAAGCCUUUUUGAAUCUACAUUUUGUUUCUUGCUUCGCAGGGAACAUUUCUGCCAACACCAAGAUGAUAAAACAAAGAUCUCAUGUCUGGAAUAACAUGGAGGCAUCUGUUAAUCACAGGCACUUCUACAUGGUUGGUCUUCCUGGGAGACCAGGUCCCCAUCAUCGGUUAUGUAGUCGUGCUAAAUAGUUUCCUCAUUAUAAAGUAGUGAUACUGUUUGCUCGUUAUGAAUCGCAUUUUAUUACAUUUGUUGUUUGUUGGUAACAUUUAAAUUGGAUACAAAUUAUACAUUCCUAAACACCCCAUUUUUCUUGGUCCCUGGAGUCUGUAGUUUCCUCAUUAUAGAUGAUAAGUAAUGCUGUACUUUGCUCAUUAUAUUGUACAUUGCUGAUUGUUUGUAACAUUUAAAUUGGAUCGAAAUUAUUCAUUCUUAAACACUCCAAUCAUA